rnacentral:lncRNA from 1 species
GAUUUGGACUAGGAAUCCUAAUAUUACUAGGACUCGGUUUGGCUUUCUUUCCUAAUCCUAAAAAAACAACAUGAUUAACUUCUACAAAGUCGAGGUCGGUGAAGUCGAGGACGCCGAAGGCGGCGAGCGCCUGCAGCCACAGGCGCGCCCACCUCGUGGAGAGGGCGCUGGUGCGGACGGCUUGUCUGAGGGGGACCCGGCGGAGUGGAGGACGUCGUCGGGGAGGCCACUCAGCCGGUCCUCCUCUGAUGGUGCUCCCUUAACUCUGCAAUGCUUCGGGUUGGACUCGAUCUCCAUUGCCUCCACUGCCCACGCGCGGUUGACGACCUCGUGUAUAGAGUCUUCCAACUUUCCAAGUGACGCACUGGGCUACGUGCGUGGUGGUAACCCGAUUUGUUGAAUCGUAUGAGCGCUUUGGCCUUGGCCUUUUAUAUGUAAUAUCCAGCCACUGUCGCGUUCGAAAUGUU